ACGGCGAGUGAAGCGGGAAGAGCUCAAAUUUGAAAUCUGGUGGCCUCAGGUCAUCCGAGUUGUAAUCUAUAGAAGUGUUUUCCGUGCUGGCUCAUGUACAAGUCCCUUGGAACAGGGCGUCAUAGAGGGUGAGAAUCCCGUCCUUGACAUGAACUACCAGUGCUCUGUGAUACAUUUUCAACGAGUCGAGUUGUUUGGGAAUGCAGCUCAAAAUGGGUGGUAAAUUCCAUCUAAAGCUAAAUAUUGGCGAGAGACCGAUAGCGAACAAGUACCGUGAGGGAAAGAUGAAAAGCACUUUGGAAAGAGAGUUAAACAGUAUGUGAAAUUGUUGAAAGGGAAACGAUUGAAGUCAGUCGUGCUCUUUGGAUUCAGCCGGUUCUGCCGGUGUACUUCCUUUGAGUGGGGUCAACAUCAGUUUUGAUCGCUGGAUAAAGGCUGGAGGAACGUAGUACCCUCGGGUAAACUUAUAGCCUCCUGUCACAUACAGUGGUUGGGACUGAGGAACGCAGCACGCCUUUAUGGCCGGGAUUCGUCCACGUAC
rnacentral:rRNA from 1 species